rnacentral:rRNA from 1 species
UCCUACGGGAGGCAGGCAGUGGGGAAUUUUGCACAAUGGGCGGAAGCCUGAUGCAGCGACGCCGCGUGGAGGAAGAAGGCCUUCGGGUUGUAAACUCCUUUUGUAAGGGGACAAUGGUGAUGUACCUUACGAAUAAGCCCACGG